rnacentral:rRNA from 1 species
GACGAACGCUGGCGGCGUGCCUAAUACAUGCAAGUCGAGCGAAUCACUGGGAGCUUGCUCCCGGUGGUUAGCGGCGGACGGGUGAGUAACACGUGGGCAACCUGCCUGUAAGACUGGGAUAACACCGGGAAACCGGUGCUAAUACCGGAUAAUUCUUUUCCUCACAUGAGGGAAAGCUGAAAGUCGGUUUCGGCUGACACUUACAGAUGGGCCCGCGGCGCAUUAGCUAGUUGGUGAGGUAACGGCUCACCAAGGCGACGAUGCGGAGCCGACCUGAGAGGGUGAUCGGCCACACUGGGACUGAGACACGGCCCAGACUCCUACGGGAGGCAGCAGUAGGGAAUCUUCCGCAAUGGACGAAAGUCUGACGGAGCAACGCCGCGUGAGUGAUGAAGGCCUUCGGGUCGUAAAACUCUGUUGUUAGGGAAGAACAAGUAUCGGAGUAACUGCCGGUACCUUGACGGUACCUAACCAGAAAGCCACGGCUAACUACGUGCCAGCCGCCGCGGUAACAC